rnacentral:ncRNA from 1 species
UAAGGUGGCCUCGCUUCAGGUGUUUACUGUCUAUCGGGAUAGAGAGUCAGUAAAUGAAACGGGAAGUCGGUGCGGCCAUAUGAUAGCCAGCCAAUUCCGACGCUGCCCCCGCAACGGUAGGCAAGUCAGUGCAGUCUCAAUGCCACUGUCCAGGUGCAUGCAUCAUGCGCCAGGAUGGGAAGGCGACUCGCACAAGGUCAGCUUUUGACAGCGGCCAGCUUGCAAGCCCGGAGACCGGCCUGCUGCAAGUGAACGCG